UGGGGAAUAUUGCACAAUGGGCGAAAGCCUGAUGCAGCAACGCCGCGUGAGUGAUGAAGGCCUUCGGGUUGUAAAGCUCUGUCUUUUGGGACGAUAAUGACGGUACCAAAGGAGGAAGCCACGGCUAACUACGUGCCAGCAGCCGCGGUAAUACGUAGGUGGCAAGCGUUGUCCGGAUUUACUGGGCGUAAAGGAUGCGUAGGCGGAUUUUUAAGUGAGAUGUGAAAAACCCUAAGCUUAACUUGGGGACUGCAUUUCAUACUGGAAAUCUAGAGUGCGGGAGAGGAGAAUGGAAAUUCCUAGUGUAGCGGUGAAAAUGCGUAGAGAUUAGGAAGAAACACCAGUGGCGAAGGCGAUUCUCUGGACCGUAAACUGACGCUGAGGCAUGAAAAGCGUGGGUAGCAAAACAGGAUUAGAUACCCUGGUAGUCCACGCCGUAAAACGAUGAGUACUAGGUGUAGGAGGUAUCGACCCCUUCUGUGCCGCAGUUAACACAAUAAGUACUCCGCCUGGGAAGUACGAUCGCAAGAUUAAAAAACUUAAAAUGAAAUUGACGGGGGUCAUAGCUGUUUUCCU
rnacentral:rRNA from 1 species